GGAUGAAGAUGAUGAUUCGGAGAGAGUGGAGAGAAUUGGAUGAUGAAGAUGGUGGAGGAUUGAAGAAUGGAAGAGGAAGCCCUGAAUAAUCGUGGAGAUGUUGAAUAUAUAGUGUGUAUUGCUACUGUUGUGAAUAUAAACUUUACUGCUUCUGGAUGAUUAGGCUAUAUGAAUGCGGUAGGUUUCAAGUUGCCGAACCGGGCUUCUCAUGGCUUCUUUGCAGCAGGUGGAGUUAUGGUUGGAGGAUGGUGUUUGUGACGUGAAGACGGUUGGAGUAACAGGCUGCGACGGUCACCCUUGGAGCUUGACGAAAGUGAGACGGUUUGGAAGACAUGAUGUAAUAGGUUUAGGAUUUUUGUGUAAUUCACUUUUUGUGACAAAUUGUAUGGACAUGUAUUGUAAUGGAUUCGGUGAACACUAGAAUGAAGCCUCUUUUUUUUUUUGUAAUAUGGCUUGUAAUGGAAUUGUAAAACUUAAUGAGACGAACUCUAGUAUUUUUGUAGUUUUCAAUGGAA